rnacentral:ncRNA from 1 species
CAAAGGUCUGGUCCCGGCCUUAUUAUCAGCUUUAACAUAAAUUACACAUGUAAGUCUCCGCAACCCAGUGAAUAUAACCCAAUCCCCCGCCCGGGGACGAGGAAAGGUAUCAGGCACAAAAUAUUAGCCCAAGACACCUAGCAAAGCCACACCCCCAAGGGAAUUCAGCAGUGAUAAACUUUAAGCCAUAAGUGAAAACUUGACUAAGUUAAUGUUAAGAGAGCCGGUAAAACUCGUGCCAGCCACCGCGGUUAGACGAGAGGCCCUAGUUGAUUUUUAACGGCGUAAAGGGUGGUUAAGGGUAUAUAAAAAUAAAGCCAAAUGGCCCUUUGGCUGUUAUACGCUUCUAGAUGUCCGAAGUCCCAAUACGAAAGUAGCUUUAAUAAAUAAACCUGACCCCACGAAAGCUGAGAAACAAACUGGGAUUAGAUACCCCACUAUGCUCAGCCAUAAACCAAGAUAUAAAUUUAUAUUCGCCAGAGUACUACAAGCGCUAGCUUAAAACCCAAAGGACUUGACGGUGUCUCAGACCCCCCUAGAGGAGCCUGUUCUAGAAUCGAUAAUCCCCGCUUAACCUUACCACUUUUAGCCAUUCCAGCCUAUAUACCACCGUCGUAAGCCUACCUUGUGAGAGAACAAAAGUGAGCAAAAUGGGUAUAACCCAGAACGUCAGGUCAAGGUGUAGCGUAUGAAGUGGAAAGAAAUGGGCUACAUUUUCUAUUACAGAAUAUUUACGAAUAUGUACCAUGAAACAGUACUUAAAGGAGGAUUUAGUAGUAAAAAGGAAGCAGAGUGUCCUUUUGAACCCGGCUCUGAGACGCGUACACACCGCCCGUCACUCUCCCCCACAAAAUGCAUAAACAUACUUAAUACAACAAUAUAAAUAAGGGGAGAUAAGUCGUAACACGGUAAGUGUACCGGAAGGUGCACUUGGAUUAAAUC